CACAGAAGAAGCACCGGCUAACUCCGUGCCAGCAGCCGCGGUAAUACGGAGGGUGCGAGCGUUAAUCGGAAUUACUGGGCGUAAAGGGUGCGUAAGUGGUUGAUUAAGUUAUCUGUGAAAUUCCUGGGCUUAACCUGGGACGGUCAGAUAAUACUGGUUGACUCGAGUAUGGGAGAGGGUAGUGCAAUUUCCGGUGUAGCGGUGAAAAGCGUAGAGAUCGGAAGGAACACCAGUGGCGAAGGCGGCUACCUGGCCCAAUACUGACACUGAGGCACGAAAGCGUGGGGAGCAAACAGGAUU
rnacentral:rRNA from 1 species